GAUACUUGCUGUCAUGAAAAUAACAGUUUUAAUGCAGUUUGAGUGUUGUCUAUAUUCAGUUUUAAGAGAAAUAAUUGGGACCUAAACCUAUGGUUUCAUCCUGAUCUAAAUAACACAGUCCUUCUCUUAAUAAUAUCUAGUUUUUCUUUCACAGAACUGAGGCAAGAAUGAGGCACUGAAAUAAAUAAAAGCAGCCAGGACUAUUGAUAUGCUGGUAAAUAUAUUGCUGACUUCCCUACCUCCUGCUUAGAUGUACUGGCUGAUACUUUCCUGGUGGAAACACAUUUAUGGGCCCACACAGAAACAGAAGUGGCAGAAAUGUAAUGCAUGAGAAUGAGUGGUGAAACUUGCUGCUUUAACAACUUGGAAAUGAAAACAUAAUGUGGUACACAACUCAUUAAUUAAUUUUAUUGCAACUUGAUGCCAAUUUUUAUUAGAUGUUUUUAUUGGAUUAGGAAUUACAUUUGGAGAUUAUGGUAAAAAUAUGAUGGUGUUUGCCUAUUCUCACAGUAGAUGUAAAAUUUAAAUGGUCUUAUUUU
rnacentral:lncRNA from 1 species